rnacentral:rRNA from 1 species
ACGAACAAGUUGGAAACGACUGCUAAUAUCGCAUACGAUCUAAUCUCGGCAUCGAGGAUAGAUGAAAGGUGGCCUCUACAUGUAAGCUAUCACUGAAGGAGGGGAUUGCGUCUGAUUAGCUAGUUGGAGGGGUAACGGCCCACCAAGGCGAUGAUCAGUAGCCGGUCUGAGAGGAUGAACGGCCACAUUGGGACUGAGACACGGCCCAG